ACGAACGCUGGCGGCGUGCCUAAUACAUGCAAGUAGAACGCUGAAGGAGGAGCUUGCUCUUCUGGAUGAGUUGCGAACGGGUGAGUAACGCGUAGGUAACCUGCCUGGUAGCGGGGGAUAACUAUUGGAAACGAUAGCUAAUACCGCAUAACAGUAGAUGUUGCAUGACAUUUACUUAAAAGGUGCAAUUGCAUCACUACCAGAUGGACCUGCGUUGUAUUAGCUAGUUGGUGGGGUAACGGCUCACCAAGGCGACGAUACAUAGCCGACCUGAGAGGGUGAUCGGCCACACUGGGACUGAGACACGGCCCAGACUCCUACGGGAGGCAGCAGUAGGGAAUCUUCGGCAAUGGACGGAAGUCUGACCGAGCAACGCCGCGUGAGUGAAGAAGGUUUUCGGAUCGUAAAGCUCUGUUGUAAGAGAAGAACGAGUGUGAGAGUGGAAAGUUCACACUGUGACGGUAUCUUACCAGAAAGAGACGGCUAACUACGUG
rnacentral:rRNA from 1 species